rnacentral:rRNA from 1 species
GUCUACAGCCAUGCUACUCUGAACAAGCCUGAUCCCAUCUGAUCUCAGAAGCUAAGCAGGGUCGGGCCUCGUUAGUACUUGGAUGUGAGACCAUCUAGGAAGACCAGGUGCUAUAGGUG